ACCUCCAGAUCCUCUCUCUCUCUCUCUCUCUCGCUCUACGACUCAAGAACAUCAUGCCAGAUCUCUCAUCAGAUGCCGUUUCAUGACAAGAUCGUUGAAGUGGUUCCGACACCGGAGCUCUGGUGGAGGAGACUAGGGUUUCGGCGAAGAUAAAGCCAUCGGAGGCUGAACCACCGGUGCGGGGUUUCUUUGCCAGUCGCUUCAAGAUAUACGCUUCCUCAGCGAUGAAUCUCUCUAGAUCCAACACGAGAUCGACUGAUCUGCCGUUGAGUUGUUCGUGUUAGGGUGCACCGGAAUAACCAGAUGUGUAUCAUCUGGAAUGAACAAGCUGGAUAACCAGUCGAUCUCUACAAAAUUUCAGUAAGAAAAUCGCGGGGUCCACCAAGGAGACUAUGAAACUACGCUCACUGACUCUAUAUCGCGAAGACUCCGAAGCAA